rnacentral:lncRNA from 1 species
AGCCAGUGAGCUCCCAAAAGGCCUCGUGCUAGGUAGAGAUGGGAAUAUACAUAUAAGGCUUACAUGAUGUACGCCCCUAGGCGAUGUGGGAUGUUACAAUCCACCCCCCCUCAUGGGCCCGACGUCCUUGUCGGCACACUUCCGGCCAGGGAUUGGCUCUGAUACCAAAUUGUCACAUCCCGGCCCGAGCCCCCACCACAUCUGGGCUCGACUCCACCGUAGCACGAUAUUGUCCGCUUUGGACCCCGACCAAGCCCUCACGGUUUUGUUUCUGGGAACUCACACAAGAACUUCCCAAUGGGUUACCCAUCAUGGGAUUGCUCUCGCACGAACGCGCUUAACUUCAGAGUUCCGAUGGAACUCGAAGCCAGUGAGCUCCCAAAAUGCUUCGUGCUAGGUUGAGAUGAGAAUAUACAUAUAAGGCUUACAUGAUCUACUCCCCUGGGCGAUGUGGGAUAUUACAUUAAACGCUCAGGGAUGUUGAGCUGUGUGUGAGAACAGUGGAAGGUCCUACCCAUUUAAUGAAGGCAAUAUUGUCUUUCUUGAGAAAAAAAAAAUUAAGGUGUCGUAUUCUGAUUUUCUGAGAUUAUUUAUGUAAUUGUUGUUCAUCGAAUUUCUUAGAUCCAAACUAAAAUAAUAACAUCCCUUUCAUAUGCUUUCCUAAUACAUAUAGAUAUAUUGACUUCACAUUUCAGAAAUUCUUCCUGAUCCCGAUCUAUUUGAAAAUAGUUAUAAUUCAUUUAUCAUGUUUACACAUACAUAAGAGCUUAUGUCCGAAGGAACCCACAUAUUAUAUCAUAUUUUACUAAAUAGAUAUCCGUGUUAUGAUCCAAGUA